CCUACGGGUGGCAGCAGUGGGGGAUAUUGCACAAUGGGGGAAACCCUGAUGCAGCGACGCCGCGUGUGGGAAGACGGUCCUCUGGAUUGUAAACCACUGUCCCCAGGGACGAAGAUGACGGUACCUGGGGAGGAAGCUCCGGCUAACUACGUGCCAGCAGCCGCGGUAAUACGUAGGGAGCGUGCGUUGUCCGGAAUUACUGGGUGAAAAGGGAGCGUAGGCGGGGAUGCAAGUUGGGUGUCAAAACUACCGGCUCAACUGGUCGUCGCACUCAAAACUGCAGCUCUUGAGUGAAGUAGAGGCAGGCGGAAUUCCUAGUGUAGCAGUGAAAUGCGUAGAUAUCAGGAGGAACACCGGCGGCGAAGGCGGCCUGCUGGACUGCGACUGACGUUGAGGCUCGAAAGCGUGGGGAGCGAACGGGAUUAGAUACCCCAGUAGUC
rnacentral:rRNA from 1 species